AUUGAACGCUGGCGGCAGGCCUAACACAUGCAAGUCGAGCGGAUGAAGGGAGCUUGCUCCUGGAUUCAGCGGCGGACGGGUGAGUAAUGCCUAGGAAUCUGCCUGGUAGUGGGGGAUAACGUCCGGAAACGGGCGCUAAUACCGCAUACGUCCUGAGGGAGAAAGUGGGGGAUCUUCGGACCUCACGCUAUCAGAUGAGCCUAGGUCGGAUUAGCUAGUUGGUGGGGUAAAGGCCUACCAAGGCGACGAUCCGUAACUGGUCUGAGAGGAUGAUCAGUCACACUGGAACUGAGACACGGUCCAGACUCCUACGGGAGGCAGCAGUGGGGAAUAUUGGACAAUGGGCGAAAGCCUGAUCCAGCCAUGCCGCGUGUGUGAAGAAGGUCUUCGGAUUGUAAAGCACUUUAAGUUGGGAGGAAGGGCAGUAAGUUAAUACCUUGCUGUUUUGACGUUACCAACAGAAUCAGCACCGGCUAACUUCGUG
rnacentral:rRNA from 1 species